rnacentral:rRNA from 1 species
GAUGAACGCUGGCGGCGUGCCUAAUACAUGCAAGUCGAACGAACAGAUGCGGAGCUUGCUGCUCUGACGUUAGGGGCGGACGGGUGAGUCACACGUGGAUACCCUACCUAUCAGACUGGGAUCACUUCGGGACACCGGAUCUAAUACCGGAUAAUAUAUUGCACCGCAUGGUUCAAUGGUGAAAGACGGUUUUGCUGUAACUUAUCGAUGGUUACGCGCGGCAUUAGCUAGUUGGUAAGUUAAAGGCUUAUCAAGGCAAGCAUGCGUAGCCGAGCGGCUAGGGGGAUCGGCCGCACUGGAACUGGGACACGGUCCAUACGCCUACGGUAGGCACCAGUAGGCAACCGUCCGCAAUGGUCGAAAGCCUGACGGAGCAACGCCGCGCGAGUGAUGAAGGUCCUCGGAUCGUAAAACUCUGUUAUUAGUUAAGAACAAAUUUGUAAGUAACUAUGCACUUCUUGACGGUACUGAAUCAGAAAGCCACGGCUAACUACGUG